CGGCCGGCACUCCACUGAAAUGCCUGCCGCAGCAUCAAAAAAGGAGGAAAAGCGUUUCCCCCGGGCUUGGGGUGCGGCAGAGUGGAGACCUGUCGUAAAAGUAGAGGCGAAAGCCCUCUGAGCGUAUUUCGUGAGGAUUCAGAAUACGCAAAGCCUGUAGUAUGGCA
rnacentral:ncRNA from 1 species